UAUCUCCGUUUUUGAGCUUCGUUUCGCGUUUUGCUCUUCGAUCCGGUGAUGCCGGCGGCGGCGCUGGGUCUUGCGUCCGGGUGGAGAGCGGCGGCGAAGCAGGCUUCGGGCGAGAAAUUGGCGAUGCCGGCGAUGAAGCUUGAAGAUGACGCGACUUCGUUUCGCGGACGGCGGUCGCCGGACGGCGGAAGGCGGCGUCAGCGCUGGCUUGCGGCACGAUUCUGCCGGGGCCGUUCCCUUUCCGAUCGUUUUUUCUCUCUUUGUUUGCGUUGGCUGCGGGAGUUUAAUCUCAAAGCAGCUAGGUUUUUUGGUUUUGUGUUUCUGCAACUUGGGUCGGGUCCACUUUUGGGCCUGGCCCUUUAUUAAAAAAAAUGUUUUAAUUGGGCCUUUUAUAUACUAUUCUGGUUUAUCAUAUGUAUAUACUUUUGUUUAAUUAUAUUGGGCCUUCUACUUAACAAUGCAUAUAUUAUUUUUAUUCAA